rnacentral:rRNA from 1 species
GAUGAACGCUGGCGGCGUGCCUAAUACAUGCAAGUCGAGCGAACAGACGAGGAGCUUGCUCCUCUGACGUUAGCGGCGGACGGGUGAGUAACGCGUGGAUAACCUACCUAUAAGACUGGGAUAACUUCGGGAAACCGGAGCUAAUACCGGAUAAUAUAUUGAACCGCAUGGUUCAAUAGUGAAAGACGGUUUUGCUGUCACUUAUAGAUGGAUCCGCGCCGCAUUAGCUAGUUGGUAAGGUAACGGCUUACCAAGGCAACGAUGCGUAGCCGACCUGAGAGGGUGAUCGGCCACACUGGAACUGAGACACGGUCCAGACUCCUACGGGAGGCAGCAGUAGGGAAUCUUCCGCAAUGGGCGAAAGCUUGACGGAGCAACGCCGCGUGAGUGAUGAAGGUCUUCGGAUCGUAAAACUCUGUUAUUAGGGAAGAACAAAUGUGUAAGUAACUAUGCACGUCUUGACGGUACCUAAUCAGAAAGCCACGGCUAACUACGUG